GUCACUGGGCAUUUAACCGAGGAUAUUUUGCAUCAACUUACCAUACCUCGAAAUUACCUCGGUAUCACUUUUGCUGAUCUCAUGAAACUGUAACUUUUAAACAAGCGAAUUCAUUAUUUCUGCUACUUGAGAAAUUGCUGUAAGCUCUACCUGAAGUAAUAUGCUAUCAACUGGUUGCAGGAGGCGACACCAUUGAAGAAAAGGUUGGAUGAAUUUUCUGGCAAAGGUCAUUGCAGGGAUAUGGGUGCUAGUAUGGGUUGUCAACAUUAGUCACUUUCGUGACCUGGCCCACGGUGGAUUUGUACAAGGUGCAAUUCAUCACUUAAGCAAUCGAGUAUCUUUUCUCCAGCAUGUGAGACAUUUAACCUGAAAAUAAUCAAAUGGUGUGACAAAACUGGGACUUUGACGACCAACAUGAUGUCUGUCUCGAAGGAUGGAGAUGAGGAUGCAACAUCUGUUUUUACACCUGUUCUUAAUUCAAGACCUGUGAAUAUUAGCUUGGAUGCUGUGUUUACUGAUCUUCAUAGGUAUUUCCUGACCACUGUACAGUCAGUAGAUAUGGAACCAAAGUGGUCAGGAGACACUCUUUGCAUCAAUUCUUAAAAGACAUCACGCAGAGAGUGUGAUGACAAAGCUGACUGCAUACUAAAAUUCGUCCUUAUUGCUCCACUUCAAAUGUUAGACAAGUCCGGAUAUUCAUCCAUUGUGCUGCAGGUUCCUCCCGUGAAAAUUGUGGUUGAAGAGCUUAAUGGUGUCUUGGUUACUCAUGCCUUAAUUACCAUACGUGGAUUGUGCAUUAGAUAUACACUAACAUUAUUCAUGGUAUGCCACGAACGCCAUCUACAUAGCAAAAGGAAGCCCACUACUUCCCCCAAGUUUUCCAUCAAUUUUUGAUGAUUUGGCUUCAUCAUCCUCGAUGUCAUCUUUGAUCCAUCCCACGUUUUGAUUAAGCUUCCAGGCUUCGUAUCAGGCACUUCAUUUACUUACAUUCCAAUUUCAUCCUUUAUCUGGAUAUGCCAUUAGACAUUCUCAUCGAUUACUGAUGAAGAAUGCUUCAAGCCUUCUUUAAGAGGAUAUAAUUUUCUGGUAGGUGAUCAUUAUAUGGAAUUUUAAGUAAUAUGUGAUACUAGAAAGAAAAACAAUGGCAUAACAGAUUAACGUGGCAUGAAAGAUUAACGUAUCUCUCAUUUGUGGGUACAGGAGCAGCUU